rnacentral:rRNA from 1 species
AAUAUUGGACAAUGGGCGAAAGCCUGAUCCAGCCAUGCCGCGUGUGUGAAGAAGGUCUUCGGCUGGUAAAGCACUUUAAGUUGGGAGGAAGGGUUGUAGGUUAAUACCCUGCAAUUUUGACGUUACCAACAGAAUAAGCCGCGUCUCACCUCGCACCAGCCGCCGCGGUAAUACGAAGGGUGCAAGCGUUAAGCGGAAUUACUGGGCGUAAAGCGCGCGUAGGUGGUUCGUUAAGUUGGAAGUGAAAGCCCCGGGCUUAACCUGGGAAUUGCUUUCAAAACUGACGAGCUAGAGUACGGUAGAGAGUAGUGGAAUUUCCUGUGUAGCGGUGAAAUGCGUAGAUAUAGGAAGGAACAUCAGUGGCGAAGGCGACUACCUGGACUGAUACUGACACUGAGGUGCGAAAGCGUGGGGAGCAAACAGG